GACGAACGCUGGCGGCGUGCUUAACACAUGCAAGUCGAACGGAAGGGCCCUGCUUUUGUGGGGUGCUCGAGUGGCGAACGGGUGAGUAACACGUGAGUAACCUGCCCUUGACUUUGGGAUAACUUCAGGAAACUGGGGCUCAUACCGGAUAUGAUCUCCUGCUGCAUGGUGGGGGUUGGAAAGUUUCGGCGGUUGGGGAUGGACUCGCGGCUUAUCCGCUUGUUGGUGGGGUAGUGGCUUACCAAGGCUUCGAGGGCUAGCCGGCCUGAGAGGGGUACCGGCCACAUGGGGACUAAGAUACGGCGCAGACUCCAACGGGAGGCAGCGGGGGGAAAUAUGGCACAGUGGGCGGAAGCGUGAUGCGGAAACGCCGCGUGCGGGAUGACGGCCUUCGGGUUGUAAACCGCUUUCGCCUGUGACGAAGCGUGAGUGACGGUAAUGGGUAAAGAAGCACCGGCUAACUACGUG
rnacentral:rRNA from 1 species